UUUUUUUUUUUUUUCUGUGGAAACGAUAGGAUUCAACUAUGCUUUCUUGACAGGUAACCUUUUACACAUUUGGUAAUGACGAAACUCCUACUUUACUUUCUGUUGAAACUAGAGAGCUAAUCUCAAGGCCUGGACCUUAAGUCAUGUUACAAUAAAUAAAAUCAGUAUGGACCAUGAAGACUGUUUGAUCUACAGCCUACAUCUAAUACGUGAAAAGCCGUCUGAUUUCAUUAAUGACUAUUAAGCAUUGUAGAGCUCUCAAAGUUUGUCGACUACAGCAUGCUCAGUGUAAGUAAAAUUUAGUCAUUAUUCUUGCAUGUGAGAGUUUAAGGAGACAAAGUAGGAAUUUUGGAUCCAAUUUAUUACAAAAUAAAAAAAAAAAGAGGAUUUAACCAGGUUGCGACUCUAAUUUGACAUGAUAACCAGUUCCUCAAAUACCAAUAAGUGUACUGUACUUCAAAAGGACUGAGGAUUUGUAAUGAGGGACAGCACAAAGAAAUGCUUUUGUUCUGCACAAGUUUGCCGAGAGGAAGAAAUUCUGAUGCUCAGUGACUAAUGAAGCUCCAAAGACCUGUGUACUUUCUAGUGAUUAUCAAAGGUAAAUGAAGUAUGUAAAACUUAAUUUGUUUAAACAUAUUCAAUAGAUCUGCAGUCAACUUUUCCAUGCCUUGCCUAUAAUAAACUCUCAGUGGUUCAUUAUUAUUUGUUUCAAGUAGUAACCAUACACUGUGACAAAAGAGUUUCCUUCAAAUUUACUGGAUCAAGGGCCACAGUCUUCAUUAUGAAAAUAAUUAGGUAUUCAUUGUUGUGUUGUAUAUGCAAGUGCACAAAUUUUAUUUGUCUUUCAACUAUAUAGAACAUAAACUCAUCAUGGUAGCCAAUAGAACUUGAUUGUGUACUAAGUGAUGCUUCUUGACACAAAUUCAUGGUACCAAAAUACUGCAUCUUCCACUACAUUCACCUUGUGUUCAUGUGAUCAGGCCCCAAACUGAAUAUUUGUGCAUUGACUGGCACUGAAAGUAAAAUUGAGCAGACCUUGACACCAAUUUGUCUCUAUGUAUUGUCCGAAUAGAAAUGAAUCUGACCAGCUGGUCGGAAAACACCAGUGAACAGCAAUAAACAGAAGCAACCAAUCUUCUCAGCUCAUGCGUUUAAGUUCAAAACUGUGAAGUUGCAUUAGUGUGAAGAUUAUAUAAUCAAGUUCACACCAAUCAAGGGUCAUUUCCUUCUAUCAGGUCAAUUCUACACUAAGCAAGGAUUAUUUUUUGAUAUCAUAAAUUAAUGUAUUUAGAAAGAGAGGAAAAAGUAGAGAAAGAGAAGAAGAGAAACAUCAUCUGGAGUAAUUAACAAUAAAUCAAGGAGAAAAAAUAGCACAAAAGUGGGAAUUUUGCUUCUACCACAGUAGAUAACAGUAAUUUAUUAGAGUCCUCAGCUAAAUUUUUGCUACUAGUGAUCUGGAUUCUGCCCAUUUCAAGUUUCAUUCUUCUGGCUUCAGCUCAAAGAUUUUCUAUGAUUUCCAGAAGCACUUUCUUAGAACUCCCACC
rnacentral:lncRNA from 1 species